CCUUCUGAGAUUUGUCCGUAUUUGCAGAACACAGUUUCCAAGUUCUUUUCAUCUGUAUCGAAGCUCAGGCCACCGACAAAAAGCUUUCCUUCGUCAGACAUGAUGAGUUCUUUAACAGUUCUCACGACGUGAACUUCUUCCAAAUCAGAAACCCGGAAUGCGCAACGCCCCAGCUACCUGUUCUUUUAUACCCGGAAUUACUCCGCCCUCCUCAUGUAUUAUUCAUAAACGCGACGGACUGUACCAAGUAGCUAAAGCGGGGUUUCCAAGAUGUCUAGUC